GAUGAACGCUAGCUACAGGCUUAACACAUGCAAGUCGAGGGGCAGCAUGGUCUUAGCUUGCUAAGGCCGAUGGCGACCGGCGCACGGGUGAGUAACACGUAUCCAACCUGCCGUCUACUCUUGGACAGCCUUCUGAAAGGAAGAUUAAUACAAGAUGGCAUCAUGAGUCCGCAUGUUCACAUGAUUAAAGGUAUUCCGGUAGACGAUGGGGAUGCGUUCCAUUAGAUAGUAGGCGGGGUAACGGCCCACCUAGUCUUCGAUGGAUAGGGGUUCUGAGAGGAAGGUCCCCCACAUUGGAACUGAGACACGGUCCAAACUCCUACGGGAGGCAGCAGUGAGGAAUAUUGGUCAAUGGGCGCAGGCCUGAACCAGCCAAGUAGCGUGAAGGAUGACUGCCCUAUGGGUUGUAAACUUCUUCUAUAAAGGAAUAAAGUCGGGUAUGUAUACCCGUUUGCAUGUACUUGAUGAAUAAGGAUCGGCUAACUCCGUG
rnacentral:rRNA from 1 species